CGAAAACGGGUUUGGUAAUCAAACCCGGUUAAUACUAAGAGACGGGUUAUAACUCCCGGAAUCCAAUAAGUUAACUAGGAAUAAUAAUAACCUAGUUAGAAGAGAAGUCUUGUAGUGACAUACUAGUGGGUUAAAAACCUUAUAACUAGGAAAAUAUAAAACUUUAUAUUAAAAUUAUAAAGUUUUAAAUAAACAAGGACAAACUAACUAGGACAAAUUAACCCAGUUAGUCUUGAGACUUGUAAAUUACUUACUAGAAGGUUAAAACACCUUAAAUAAAUAACUUAAUGAUAAUGGAGGGACUAAAGGUGUUAAAACUAAAACUAAUAAUAAUAAAAACAAGGUUUAAACACCAAACACACUAAAAGAAGUGUGUCUGGUCGAUCUAAACAUCAGGAGCGAAUAGGAGCUUCCCCACCAAACCCUAACUUGUGCAAAUUGAUCAAAUUGGGGCUUCAAAUCAGUUCCAAAUCGAUUUCCAAGCACGAAAUUGUCAUCUCCAUUGAAAGGGGAGUCAUAAGUUUGAUCUCGUCAAGCUAAGUGGGAGCUGGAAAGGAAUGGAUCAAACGGGUCAAGUGCGCAAGGAAAGCUCGAACGGACGCAAACUGACACUCGCAUCUGAAGAUAACGAGAGUUUAACAAAUUGCGGAUAUGAUGAUGGAACGGUCCGAGAUGUGACAAGAAGAGCAUACUCAUCAAGGACCUAAAUCGCGUAACGAUCGCAAAUAAGUAAUGGCAACGAAUGCCCGUCGGGGCAAGCAUUACCAGUUUGAUCUCGUCAAGCUAAGUGGGAGCUGGAAAGGAAUGGAUCAAACGGGUCAAGUGUGCAAGGAAAGCUCGAACGGACGCAAACUUCAUAUGUUUACAGGAACGAAUAGAAAUUUGGAUAAUUACGUCAUCAUAGAAUAUUGAAUUAAUAAUAGCAAGGCAUAAACGGGUCUAUACGUUGACUCGAGCCAGGUACGCUUAUAUAUAGAUUUAUAGUUAAAAGUGUUUAACUUCCCUUCACGGGUCAAAAGGAGUAGAUAGGUAAAACGGGUUAAGAAUUCAUAAGAAACCCGUAAUUUGAACCUUGCACAUUAGUAAACUGAUAUAACGUGAUAUGCAUGAUAUUUUGAAAAGGGUAAUAAACAAGUUUGUUUGAUAAAUCACGAACGGGUCAAAAAGUGUCAUAAUUGAAUUUCAAGCCGAGAGCUUGAGAGUUAAAAUUUUGUGAAUUCAGAUGUUGGAUUUUAACUCCAUAUGAUGGAGGAUCAAAUUACAAUCACGUAGAAAGAAACGGUAGACCCUGUAAAAAAAAUAUGUAUAUAUAUUUUAUUCAGUUUUGCUUCCCAGACUCAUUUAGAUACGUUUUAAACCCCGUAUGACUAAAGCAUUUCAUGUUUAUGAAAUGUAGGUACAUUUUGGAUGCCGGAAGACGAUCAAGCUCAACGAAGAACCGAACACGAAUAAGAUAAAAGCUUCCGCACGUCGUUUCGUCGUAACUUUUAAACGACGAACUCAAUUAUGUUAUGUUGUAUUAUUUUAAAAUUGUAAAGUUUAAACAAACCCGUAUUUUUACAAAGUAUAUGUAGUCAUAAUUACAUGUUGUUUGUCGUAUACUUUACGAAAACCAUUAAAUAA